GUAUCUAUCGUUUGCGUUGCGCGGGAAAUUGUGGCGGGAACGAUUGGCGGUUGCUCUCCUCAGGCGCCGAAGCCCCGAGUCAACCGAGCCCCGCUGGCCCUGCUGCCCGCGGAGAUGGCGAGCUGGGUGAGGGAGUGCGGGGCCGAGAGCUGCUCCCAGGCGGUGGCCCUGGCCGAAGGCUUCCUGCUCAGCCAAGCCCAGAGGGAAGGGCCGCCAAAGGGGCAGCAGGUGCAGGAACUGUUCAUGGGGGAGAUCUCCACAGAGGUCCAGGAAAGAGGAGAUCCAUCCAGCCCUUCUGAGGAGCUGCUUUUCAGCGGGAUCCAACUUGAGCCUCUUUGCCAGGUAGGUGCAGAUUUCUUCUGAGAAUAGUGAAGUACAAACUCCAUCCGUUCAUGGAGCUUUUACCAUCAAAUGCUGAAUCUGUGUCCAUUUGAACCCAGUUCUCCCCCCCCCCAAUGUCCUGCUGAAUCACACUCAGCGUUCAAGAUUGUUCUUGAGUUGCAAACAAGAGAAAAUUUCUAGGCUUCAUUGUAUUAGACAAUUAGAAAAUUAGACAUUAUUAGAAAAUUUGUUUGGUGGAAAGAGUUUAAUACUUAAUAUUUUUCAGAAGAGUCCUGAAAACUAGUUAGAAAUGAAUCCCAUGAAUUCAAACAAUAGGAUUUUCUUUUAGGUGUUUUUGCUUUAAUUUUUUCUUUCAUGUUUUACUUGUUACUAGAUUUUGACUUCAUCGCCCUUGUCUCUCUUUGUUCCAUUGGAUCUUUAGAUUGUGCUCCUUCUUUUAGGGCUCUUCUUUCCACUAUUUUUUCAACUUUAUCUUUCUCUAUCUUUUUGCUUUGUCUUUCCUAUUGAUUCCAAAUCAUCUUCUAGUGGUCCACAAAAUUGUUGAUUAAAUAGUUUUGCUUUUUCAAUGGAGUCAAGUCUAUGUCUUUGUUCUUGCCAUGUCACCAAAAUUCCUUCCGCUUUUAACCAUCUAAAUUUCACUCCUUUGAAUAUUAGGAACUUGGUUAGAAACUGAUAUUCUCUCCUCAAUUCUCUAACUCUUCUAGGUAUUUAUCUUAAUACCGCAAUUUCAUCUUUGUGUUUCUGUGCUAUAUUUCUUGCAGCUUGUAAUAUCUGUUUCACUGCCUUCUUCGUAAAUCUUACAUGUACUUCUCUCGGUAGUUUGUUCCUCAUUGCAUAUCUUGUGUAUACUCUGAAGGUGUGGGAAUGCGGUGGCCAUAGUACAUGUAUAGACCAGUUUAACUGGUUGGACACUUGUAUGGAGCUUAGCAUCGAAAUAAUCUGACUAUGAAAAGCGGGUUCAUAUGGAUACUCUCUGAAGGGCCCUAUUCAUUCUCUCUUUGUUCUUAACAUAGACUGUAUUAGCAAAGCCAGAGAUAUCCCUUCCUGCUACAUUCCUGAGGGUUGAGGUAAUCUCUGAUAACGGGGAGACGAAGAGAUGGGUCUCUCGCCUGGUAGUAACUGGUACCAAAUAGCCAGAGUUGAGUUUCGCUUUUGCAUCUUUAGUAUCGCUUUCCUAUCUCUUGUAUGUAAUAUGAGAUGUGUAACCAUAAUAACGCCUUCUGAUGACGCUGUAUUUGGAUAACUAAUAAAAGAGAUUGUAGCCUUUUGUUUGCUGCUCUCUCAUCCCGAGAAAACGCUUGUCCUGUGUUUUCCUAAACUGAAACUCUCAUGAGAAGCCCGCCAGAAUGAAUUCAACAUCUGGUGACCCCGACGUGAUAACUCUGCUUGUAGCUAUAUGUCUCUUGGUAAUUUCAUACUCAUUCGGCUGGAAGAAGCCUCUGCAAACCAGGGCCGGUCGUCUGCGGACGAAGCACCCUCCCAUAAAUCGUGAGUAUGGAGGCAGAAUUGCCAGGUACCCCGACAUGAUAGCCCUUGAGGCUAUACGUCUCUUGGAACCCCUGUUCUCACCGCCUGGAAGAGGCUGUGCACCACGAUUUUGCCUGAAACACGGCGACAAUCUUUCGUGAGUAUAGGGGGAGGUCUUUCCAAGCAGCAGACGCAGUAUCUGAAGAGCUUGGUGAGAUAUCCAAGACUAAUAUUAUUGUUUUUAAAAAAGAUAACGGGAAAGUCCUGCCCGUGAUAAAAAAGAAUUUGAUCUACCUUCUAAAAUACUUUUGGCAAUAAAAGGGCUCUUUAAAAGUGAAUAUGUGGAAGCAGAUGGGAACAUGCCUCCACAAACCUCCCCAGCCCUGAAAAAUUUUUUGCACUCUGGAGAUUAGUUAUAGAGUGUUUAAUGAUACAAAAAAAAAAAAAAAGCCUUCAGGACACUGUUAAUAGUUCCUUUUCAGACUUUGUUGAGAGAUUGCUCUCACGUUAAAUCACCCACACAGAUGCACGGCAUGAAAUUAAACAGCUCAUUCUGAAGGAGUCAGUUACACCCCCACUAAGCAGAAUUUAAAGAAACAGUUAGACAAAAAAAAGGGGGAUGGAUAGAAUAAAUUGCUGAAAUGCUUUCAGUGUGUCUGCCGGCUGCAAUUUUGCAAGCUUCUUCUGAAUGUGCUUAACAAGCCUUCAGAAAAAUGCUUGUUUCUGGCAAGCGUCAACAAGCCUUCUCUAACAUAAAGAAAGAAAGCUAAAAAACAACACCACUUAAAAGCUAUUGUUGGGCUGGAAAAAAAUCUUAAUUUGGCAGAUAUGAUUAAAGUGUGUCAGGAUCAUCGUAUAGAUGACAUUUUAAUUGGAGCACAAAAAAUACAACCUAAUUGGCUUUUUGAAAAUACAAAAUGAUUUAUGUGUAAAUGAAUUGCACAUUGCCCCAGAGAAAAUACAGCUCCUUAUCUGUAUGUGCAAUCUCUUUCUGCUCCGGCCUUUAAAGUUACCCAAAGUUAAAUUUGCAACAAUUACUGGGUACUAUUAAUUGGGACUGCUCAUAUUUUUCUUUACCUAUGCAUUUACUUAGUCCAUUAUUUGAGUUAUUGACUAAAAGAAAAAGCCAGGAGAUUUAAUUCUGUUUUAGAACAGCAAAAAGUACAUUGCUUUAUUUGUCUCAUUACCAUCUAAAAAUGUUUUACCCUUUAUUUAAGCUAUUGCUGAAAUUAUAACCUUGGGACGUAAUCCAGACUGUCGAAGAAAUGGAACUGAUCUAAUAAAUAUUAUUCUUUCUAUCUCAAAAUCUGACUUUUACUUUUGUCUUCGGAAUGAUUCAUCUCUUCAGUGUGCUCUAACUGACUAUGUAAGCUGUAUUUCAUAUUAUUUGCCUAAAGAUCCUAGGUUUACUUGCUUAAUGAUUUUCUCCAGAGGAGCCACUGCUUACAAGGACAUCUGGAAAGAAUCUUACACUAAUUGUCUGCGACUAUCUUAGCUUUCACACUUUUUCUCAACAAGCUUUUAAUUUGAUCUCUGACUCUCAGUAUGUUUCUCAGGCUGAAAAAAUAAAUAAAUAAAUAAAUAAAUAAAUAAAUAAAUUGUUUAUUGUUCUUCCCACCCGGGGUUUAGCAGGAAAUAAAAUUAGAGCCUGUCUAAAUGGGAAGACUCAGAUAAUUUGAACUAAUCAACUUGAAGUGAUUUCUGUUAAAAAUAUUUUGUUGAUGUACAUCUAUAAUGAUAGUGUGUGGAAUUGAUAUGCUUGGCUGGCCAGCAAAAAUUAACUGGGUUUGAACUUGAAACUGUGGGAAACCGGGCAGUGGUUAUGGGCCCAUGUCACCUUUUGUGAUUAUGACUCCUGCCUAUGUUUUGCACUGUUUUGGGAAUAAACUAGUUCAUUGAAAUAAUUUGAAUGACUGAUUCGCAUGAAGGAUGUAUUAUACAAAAGGUCUGAUCGCAGUACAGAUGUGAAUGGGUGUGUAUUGGAUUGCAUGAAAUGUAAUUUUGUGUAUAAGCACCUUUUUUCUUUUCUCUCCCUGCCCACCGAGGAGAAGGGAGGCUUGGUCUGUUUUAAAAAUUUUUUCCUUUCCCUCACCCCCUCCCUUUUUUUCCCUGGGAGAUGAGAGGCACGAAAGAGGGGGGGGGUUACUUUGUACUUUUAACCAUUUUUUUUCUCUCAGAGAACCAGCCAGAGAAAGGCGGGAGUGAAAGGGUGAUAUCUGAUACCUGCCUUUGCAGAGCACUGAACGGCUCAGAAUGCAAUUUUGAUUUUUUUCCUUCUGAACAUUUUUGACGUUUCAAAUACUUUCAUACCCAAUUCUAUUUCAGAGUAUUGACUCAAAAUACUCCUUAAUGUUUUUAUGUCUACGUGCAUUUUGCAUACUUAACAGAUGGCAUGUUUGUUCUUUGCUUGUCUGUUGUUUGUUUGUUUAUUUGUUUGUUUCUUUGUCAGCAGCAUAAACUGCUGCCAUUUUUAGGAAUUAUCACAGAGAUGAGUUAGAAAUUACAAUAUGUAGACAGAGAGAUAAAAUACAUAGGACAUUUAAUUAAUGAAAGAAAAUAACACCUGAAGAGUUGAGGAAAUUUUUAGGAUUGACUGGAUAUUGUAGGCUGUGAAUAGAUAAUUGUGCUAUUUUGAAUAAAGACUGGUAUGUAAAGAAUCCAGUGUUACAGGGAAUGUAAGAGAGAGUUAGUGAAGGAAAGCAGAAAGUUGACUUUUGGAAGUAUGCUUGUUUACAAGGAGAUUUAAAAGGACGAUCAGAUAUUGGUGCAGAGAAGGAGUAAAAGUUGGCUUGCACAGAUUUGGGCUGACUUGGAAGUCAGAAUGGCAGUAGGAGAAAGGACUUGAAUGUUUAGUGUUAUAAGGAGAUUUGUUUACUGGAAGGUUAUAGAUGUUGUGGGUAGCGGAGACAGAGAUUGGAAGAGGGAAAUGACAAAGCUGCAACUGCGCUUAUGGUUAUAUCUUCCAUCACACCAUGGGACAGUCAUGCCUAUUUUCAUCAAAAUAAAAAGCAUUAGCGAAACAAUUUGGUCUCACGGCAGCUGAAGCGACUGCCAUCAUACAACAAUGUCCUACCUGUAGUCAACAAGCUCAUUCUAUCCCUAUGGGUGUAACCCUAGAGGACUAAAAGCUUGUGAAAUUUGGCAAAUGGAUGUAACUCAGUACCCAUCCUUUGCCCCAUGGAAAUAUUUGCAUGUUUCCGUGGACAUUUAUUCAGGAUUUAUCAUGGCAUCUCCACAAAGGGGAGAAGCAACCAAACAUGUAAUAAAUCAUUGUAUUCGGAUUUCUGCAUCGAUGGGACGCCCAAUUGAAAUUAAAACUGACAAUGGAUCUACUACACCAGUACUGCCUUUGCAGACUUUUGUAACAAGUGGUCCAUCACACACAAAUUUGGCUUAUAAAAUUGAAAGAGGAAAAAUGCCUCGGCCUCCCAGCCAUGCAAAACAAACUCAAUCUUUGCUUAUAUACUUUGAACUUCCUUAACCUGACUGGACAGCCUCCCACAUCGGCUGCGACCCGUCAUUUUUCUGCUUAUCCAUCAGCUGCCCUAAAACCGAAGGUCUAUUUCCACCAACUACCUGAUCCUGCAUGGAGAGGGCCUGCUGACCUUAUUACCUGGGGCCAUGGAUAUGCUGCUGUCCAGGACAAUGAUCGCAUCAUUUGGAUCCCCAAAAGACACGUAAGACCAUUUCAUUUACAACAAAAAGAAGGAGAAACCCCUGGUGCUGAGAUGGCAACAGACUCUUAACGCAAGGUGGUGACCAUCAGCUUUGCAGGACUACACCGGAAGCUAGUCCCCUGAGCACAGCGGAAGAUUUCAUCAGGAGAAAACUACCUUCACAUUGUACAUAUACAUUUUAUUAGCUUUAAUAUAACACUUUCUUACACAUACUAAUGUUAGUAGAAUUGUUUUUCUAAUUUUGCUAGUAAUUUUGUUUCACGCGUAUAAGUGACUAUGAUUUGUUUAUGGCCUUGGACAUUGUUAGCUUGGGGACUCUCAAGUGACCAUGUAAGAACGCUCCUGCCACAAACGCAUUGUCUAUGUACAAGGUCCUUACUUUCUACCUAAAUCUACUCCACCACCUAAGGUUCCCAUAUUGACAUUUCCAGCUGAGGGGGGAGUGAAUAAGAACAAUGGGCCUCUGUAACAAUUGCAUAAAAGAGACUAUAUAUCAUGGAUUCUGGAAUUAAGUCACGAUCUUGCAUCUAUUGCCCCUACAUCUCAUGAUCCUUCAUGUCAGCAGCCUCUACAUUCAAUCAUGAUGGGACAGUAAUAAAAGACAUUCAAAUAGCUGCUAAUCAGACAAACUCCACUACUCCUAUUUCUCAAACCACACCCACCACUGACAUUGGGUGGCUCAUUAAAAACUCAGAUAUCCAGAGGCAUCUUGCCCAAUCUCGGGUGGCAAUGAACUAUCGGGAUCUUCAUUUAUUAAAUAACUGGACAGUACAUAUGUUCAACGAGACUAUCAAGGUGCUGAAGCUGAUGAACAAAGAACUGGUUGAAAUCAGGGAGGUGGUCUUACAAAACCGAUAUGCCUUAGAUAUUGUGCUGGUAGUUAAAGGAGGCGAUUGUGCCCUCAUGCAUUCACAUUGUUGUACCUAUGUAUCUGAUUAUCAGUAUAACAUCACUCACACCAUAGAACAUAUGGAAAACUAGAUCAAAAACAAUCCCUUAUCAUCCAAUGGAUCUGGCGCCAUUGACAUCUGGGCUGCUCUUUGGUCAUGGCUCCCGGAUGGUUCUUGGUUGAAAUCAAUUAUGCCAAUUAUUGUAUCUAUAAUUGUACUGCUUGUUUUGCUUUGUUGCUGUAUCCUAUGUCUCCCCUCCCUUCUGCAAAUGUGCAAAGGUUUUAUUCCCUCCAAUAGGAACGACGUCCUGAAAAGUGAAACCAAAGCCCUUCUGGAACUGGAGGAACAAAUCAGGUGUGGUCAGAGAAGGUGCUCGGGACUUGCAAGAUAGGGCUUCCAAGAUAACUCAGAGGUUACAAACUCCUGACAUGUGGUUUUCUUGGGUGCCUGAAACCGGAUGGAUUUACAAUUUGUAUGAGCGAUUUGUGGAAAUGUAUAACUGGAAUACAACUCAGAAACUUGAUGGCCUACCUCGCUUGACAUCUCCUGGCCACUUUUCCACUAACUUUGUUCACCUUAAUAAAAGGAUGGGUGACCUAAAAACAUUUGCAGAAACCAGAUGGCUGAAGAACAUAUUGUCUACUGUACUCAUGAUCAUUGCUUUGCUUAUUUCUGUAUGUUGUAGUAUCCAAUGUAUUCCUGCUUUGUUUGCUAUGAUGAUAGGUAUGUUUUCCAGGCAUAAAGAGAACAUCAUAAUAACAACACAACUGAACCCUGUUGCAAAAAACAAAAACAGAGGAAAUGUGGGAAUGCGGUGGCCAUAGUACAUGUAUAGACCAGUUUAACUGGUUGGACACUUGUAUGGAGCUUAGCAUCGAAAUAAUCUGACUAUGAAAAGCAGGUUCAUAUGGAUACUCUCUGAAGGGCCCUAUUUUGUUCUCUCUUUGUUCUUAACAUAGACUGUAUUAGCAAAGCCAGAGAUAUCCCUUCCUGCUACAUUCCUGAGGGUUGAGGUAAUCUCUGAUAACGGGGAGACGAAGAGAUGGGCCUCUCGCCUGGUAGUAACUGGUACCAAAUAGCCAGAGUUGAGUUUCGCUUUUGCAUCUUUAGUAUCGCUUUCCUAUCUCUUGUAUGUAAUAUGAGAUGUGUAGCCAUAAUAACGCCUUCUGAUGACGCUGUAUUUGGAUAACUAAUAAAAGAGAUUGUAGCCUUUUGUUUGCUGCUCUCUCAUCCCGAGAAAA